AGCGGCGAAAGGGAGAGGAAUACGUAGAAAUCUACCCUCGAGACCGGGAUGGCGUCGGGAAACUGGCAGUAAUACCGGAUAAUGUCUUCGGACCAAAGGUGUGAUUCCACUCGGGGAUGAGUCUACGCCCUAUUAGCUAGUUGGUGGGGUAAUGGCCUACCAAGGCGAUGAUGGGUAGCAGGUGUGAGAGCAUGACCCGCCUCACUGGGACUGAGAACUGCCCAGACACCUACGGGUGGCUGCAGUCGAGAAUCUUUGUCAAUGGACGAAAGUCUGAACAAGCGACGCCGCGUGCGGGAUGAAGGCCUUCGGGUUGUAAACCGCUGUCGUAGGGGAACAAGUGUAGAGGGGUUCUCCCCUUUAUUUGAGUGAUCCUAGGAGGAAGGACGGGCUAAGUUCGUGCCAGCAGCCGCGGUAAGACGAACCGUCCGAACGUUAUUCGGUAUCACUGGGCUUAAAGAGUUCGUAGGCGGCUCAGCAGGUCAGGUGUGAAAUCCCACAGCUCAACUGUGGAACUGCGCUUGAAACCGCUGGGCUUGAGGGAGGUAGAGGUAAGCGGAACAGAUGGUGGAGCGGUGAAAUGCGUUGAUAUCAUCUGGAACACCGGUGGCGAAAGCGGCUUACUGGGUCUUUUCUGACGCUGAGGAACGAAAGCUAGGGUAGCAAACGGGAUUAGAUACCCCGGUAGUCCUAGCCGUAAACGAUGAGCACUAGU
rnacentral:rRNA from 1 species